GACGAACCGUGCGAACGUUGUUCGGAAUCACUGGGCUUAAAGGGCGCGUAGGCGGGCACACAAGUCCGGGGUGAAAUCUUUCGGCUCAACCGGAAAAGGGCCUCGGAUACUGUGCGUCUGGAGGAAGGUAGGGGCAUGCGGAACUUCCGGUGGAGCGGUGAAAUGCGUUGAUACUCGGGAAGGAACGCCGGUGGCGAAAGGCGGCGUG
rnacentral:rRNA from 1 species